UACGGAGGGGGCUAGCGUUGUUCGGAAUUACUGGGCGUAAAGCGUACGUAGGCGGCUUGCCAAGUCAGGGGUGAAAUCCCGCGACUCAAUCGCGGAACUGCCCUUGAGACUGGUUCGCUUGAAGAUGGGAGAGGUCAGUGGAAUUCCGAGUGUAGAGGUGAAAUUCGUAGAUAUUGGGAGGAACACCAGUGGCGAAGGCGGCUCACUGGACCGGUUCUGACGCUGAGGCGCGAAAGCGUGGGGAGCAAACGGG
rnacentral:rRNA from 1 species